rnacentral:tRNA from 1 species
GGCCUUGUGGCGCAAUGGGUAACGCGUCUGACUACGGAUCAGAAGAUUACAGGUUCGUAUCCUGGCAAGGUCG